rnacentral:rRNA from 1 species
GUAGGGAAUAUUGCGCAAUGCCCGCAAGGGUGACGCAGCAACGCCGCGUGGGUGAUGAAGUUCUUCGGAACGUAAAACUCUGUCAGGAGGGAAGAAACGCUCGAUUUCUAUCGAGCUUGACGGUACCUCCAGAGGAAGCUCCGGCCAACUCCGUGCCAGCAGCCGCGGUAACACGGGGGGAGCAAGCGUUGUUCGGAAUCACUGGGCGUAAAGGGCGUGUAGGCGGAUGGACAAGUCAGAUGUGAAAACCCAGAGCUCAACUCUGGGCCUGCAUUUGAUACUGUUCGUCUUGAGUAUGGGAGAGGAGAUCGGAAUUCCUGGUGUAGCGGUGAAAUGCGUAGAUAUCAGGAAGAACACCGGUGGCGAAGGCGGAUCUCUGGCCUAAUACUGACGCUGAGGCGCGAAAGCUGGGGGAGCAAACAGGAUUAGAAACCCGAGUAGUCC